rnacentral:tRNA from 1 species
CGGGCUGUGGCGCAGUUUGGUAGCGCACCACACUGGGGGUGUGGGGGUCGCAGGUUCAAAUCCUGUCAGCCCGACCA